ACAGACAUACAGACACACACUGAUAGACAUACAGGCACACGCUGAUAGAUAGACAUACAGACACACACUGAUAGACAUAUAGGCACACGCUAAUAGACAUACAGACACACACUGAUAGAUAGACAUACACUGAUAGAUAGACAUACAGACAUACACUGAUAGACAUACAGACACACACUGCUAGAUAGACAUACAGACACUGAUAGAUAGACAUACAGGCACACACAGAUAGACAUACAGACACACACUGAUAGACAUACAGGCACACACUGAUAGAUAGACAUACAGUCACACACCGAUAGACAUACAGGCACACACUGAUAGACAGACAUACAGGCACACACCUAUAGACAUACAGGCACACACU